AUACGGAGGGGGUUAGCGUUGUUCGGAAUUACUGGGCGUAAAGCGUGCGUAGGCGGACUAUUAAGUCAGAGGUGAAAUCCCGGGGCUCAACCCCGGAACUGCCUUUGAUACUGGUAGUCUUGAGGUCGAGAGAGGUGAGUGGAAUUCCUAGCGUAGAGGUGAAAGUCGUAGAUAUUAGGAGGAACACCAGUGGCGAAGGCGGCUCACUGGCUCGAUUCUGACGCUGAGGUACGAAAGUGUGGGGAGCAAACAGGAUUAGAAACCCCAGUAGUCC
rnacentral:rRNA from 1 species